rnacentral:lncRNA from 1 species
GCAAACGGGGAAAUGCAAACCCCAUUUAUAGGGUCACAUUUGGAGGAGCCGGCUCCGUCGGGGGCAGGAGGGAGGAAGUGGUGGGGAGGCUCAGGGUGUGUCAGAUCCAGCCUCCCCACCUCUGCUGAGCUGGCGGCUGGACUCAAGGCCUGCCACGUCUUCCUGCUCUGCAGUGCACUAGCUGUGUGACCUUCUGCAAACUGGGUAACCACACUGCCUCCCCACCCCAUCUCCUCCAAGGUAAAGUGGAGAUUUUACCUGCUGCAAAAAGUUGGGUGAGGACUGAUGAGAGAAUGAGGGUUGAUAAGAGAAGGUGAAGGAAGAGAAGGGAAAAUGUGAAAGACAAUAUUCCAGUCUCCACUGAAUGUGUGGGCACUUCAGUCUCGUGGCAAGUUCAGGCCAAGGGGACAGCUGCUGAAAUGUGGGGGUCCAGGGGCUGCAGAGGGGUUCUGCUGCCUAGCAUUUAAAAGAAGAGGGAAGUAAAUAUUUCUGAGCAACCAUACAGCAUUGAAAGCGAAGCCUUAUCCAUCAUCCACGUCAAAGGGGCUGGAAAGGUCCGAAUCCACCUGAAUGACAACUAAAGUUUCGAGAAUGGGAAUGCAAAAGGGGAUUCAAAGCCACCUGCAUUCCUCGGCCCAUGGCCCCUUCUACCAUCUUUGAAGGCAGCAGCAUAGCACAUCUUCGAAUCUCUCUCUGGCCCUGAAACUCUUGUCUGUGUCUUAUGAGGACCCUUGUGACUACAUUGAGCCCACCCAGAUAAUCCAGGAUAAUCUUCCAGCCUCAAGAUCCUUAACUCAAUCACAUCUGCCAAGUCCCUUUUGCCAUAUAAGGACCAAAACACCAUAUAACAUGAAGAAAGAAAACAGAGAAGAUGUGAAAAUUACAUCCAACUUUGAGCAUAAGGAUUAAAGAAUCACCAAAUGAUUAACUUCCCUCAAAAUACAAGUUUCCCAUGCUGUUUGAAUUGAAGGAAUUUUUUUCUGUUGAAAUCAAGCAUUAUUAGUAAACAGCAGUUGUGAGAACUCGAAGGGGCUAAAUUGUAGGCUUUGUUGGAAACAGGCCUGAAUAGAACAUAUUAGCAUAAAUUGUAUUUUUAUGGUUAAGCUGCAGUGUUAAAUAUCAAACUGUGCUAAACGAUUGAUUCCAUACAGCUGCUAAAUUGAACUACCUGUUAUAUCAGUUUAGUAAAUUGUCAAACUUAGAGAACUCAGCAAUUUAAUGGAUGUGUUUGUAAAAUAUCCUUAGGUACCCUGGCUUAACAUCAAGAAACAAACCACCCUCUUAGAGUGUUAAAAGUCUGUCUGUUAAAAAAAAAGAUUAACAAGGGGAUAAAUAUAAGAUUAAUUUUUAAAAGGAAAGCCAAUAUACUAUAAAAUGAACAUAAUAUGUUCAGUUCAUAGUUCAUGUCAAAAAAGUUCACAUUCUAUCUUAAUUUUCUCUACAUUAAGUAUUAAAUAAUUUUUGCCUUAUCACUAUAUUAUCAUUCAGGACACUGGAUACUGAAUUUUGCCCAGUUAAACUCACAAUCACUAUGUCUCCUUCCACUUUUGACUCUGGAUAUUUGGCAUAUUUAAUCAAAUGAGGGGUGAAAAUUAAGCAAAAUGAUGUCAUGUCAUGAUGUCAUACUUUUUGCUAAAUUUUAUAUAUUCUUUAGGAAUACUGAGCAUUUCAGAUAGGUCUCUGCCUUCUAUCUUAUAAUGGAUGUUUGUAAACCACACAGCAGAUAUUUAAUAUCCUGAGAAUAAAUACCUUGUGUAUGGCUUAGUUCUGUCAAAUGUAAAAUUAAGCAUAAAUAUUAGUAUUGAAUGCCAAAGCCAAUUGUUGAAAAUCAGAUCAUAAAAACCCUUAUUUGAGGUCUAUUAACAACUGACCAUUUGAAAUAAUCAGGGAUUAAUUAAUAAAUGGUUUGCUUAUGUCUUUUAUAUAACAAGAAGAUUGUUAGAAAAUAAAAUAAGCUAUCAUUAUCACUUCCUUCAUGUGAUUUUGCCACUCUUAUUUUGAUAGCAUCUACAUAAUAGAGAAUCAUUUUUGCUGGUUUUUAAUACUUUUCUCUCUCUCUUUUUUUUUUUUUUUUUUUUUUUUUGAGACGGAGUCUUGCUCUGUCAUCAGACUGGAGCGCAAUGGUGCGAUCUCAGCUCACUGCAACCUCCACCUCCCAGGUUCAAGUGAUUCUCCUGCCUCAGCCUCCCAAGAAGCUGGGACUACAGGUGCAUGCCACUACACUGAACUAAUUUUUGUAUUUUUAGUAGAGAAGGGGUUUCACCAUGUUGGCCAGGAUGGUCUUGAUCUCUUGACCUCAUGAUCCACCUGCCUCAGCCUCCCAAAGUGCUGAGAUUACAGGUGUGAGCCAC